rnacentral:tmRNA from 1 species
GGGGGGGAUCUGGAUUCGACCGGAUGUGAAGAAGCGUUGGUUGCGUGUCGUGGUUGAUCAGUUGGCCACGUAAAAAGCUGAUCACAACUUUUAGUUGCAGAUGAAAGUCUUGCACUGGCCGCCUAAGAAUAGGUAGCCCGGGCUGAGGGGGAUUGCCAGAGUCGCCCGACUGCCCGUCACAAUUCUGGAUCGCUUGUCGUCCUACUCGAGACGCGACGAGUCAAAAAAUGAUUCGAGUUAGCGAGCGGCGGAGCCUGUCGGGCAGCGCCGUGGUAAGCGAAAGGUUCUUCGGAACAUAAAUAGCUCGACUACACACGUAGACAUCAUCGUGGAUCCAUCGCGGGACGCGGGUUCAAUUCCCGCCGCCUCCACUC